UGUCUUAUAUUAAUUGUGAGUGAAUUCCUUUUACAGUUUGUGGACUUGUGGGUUUGUUGCAUCCGGUUUGGGCCUGAAUUUUUGCAUUGUGUAGAGCUAUUUGGAUGCUUAAUGGCAAUACUUGGAAGGUUAUAGUGUUUUAUCAUUUACGUUAGAAAUCUUUUUUGGAGUUGAGACCAUUCAUUGGGAAACUAUUUUGAAGUCGUAAUGUUUUCUUCAGGAAAAAUCUUGUCUUUCUUGGAUGACACCAAGUAAGAUUUUUGCUAUCUUUGGCUGAGGUCUCACGAGCACAGCUUUAAGGGGGAAAAGGAUGUCAUCAUAUUGUUCCAUGUGGAUGACACCACACAAUGUUUUGCAGUCAGAAACUGAUUAUUUGGUUGAAUGUUGUCCUCGAGGCUCUUUCAAGACCCUUAAUAAGUAGGAUCUAUUUCCUUGUAAUUUUUGUAUCACUUGCAGUA